rnacentral:lncRNA from 1 species
UGCCAUCAAUUGCUGACCCAUGGUUCCAGUAUCUUGAUAAAAAAAAAUUGAUGGCUGGAGAUGAAGUUGUCUUCUACUUUCGGUUUUAUGACCAUGCAUGGGAGCUUUUGAUCAGAAUAGAAAUUGAAUGGGAGGAGGAGGACAUCCACCUUGAAGACUGACUUCUUUUCAUCUGCAUGGAAUCGUGAUAGCAAAUUUACUGAAAUUAAACUUGGAUUGAAGAAACAUUAACUGCCUCCUCAUAUAUUCAUAUACAUUUGAUUUUAAAUAUACCAGUUUCGUGAUUUAAAAUUUGUUCUUAAUAAGCAUCUGAGUCUUUUUGUUCACAUAAUAUUUAUACCACUAACAGUACAGUUCCAGCCCGUGCAUCAGCACGGGAUGGAAAUAGGAAUGGAAGGGGA